rnacentral:rRNA from 1 species
UGCAGUCGAGCGAACAGAUGAAGUGCUUGCACUUCUGACGUUAGCGGCGAACGGGUGAGUAACACGUAAGGAAUCUACCUAUAAGCGGGGGAUAACAUUCGGAAACGGGUGCUAAUACCGCAUAAUAUCUUCUUCCGCAUGGAAGAAGAUUGAAAGACGGCUCUGCUGUCACUUAUGGAUGACCUUGCGGUGCAUUAGUUAGUUGGUGGGGUAAUGGCCUACCAAGACGAUGAUGCAUAGCCGACCUGAGAGGGUGAUCGGCCACAUUGGGACUGAGACACGGCCCAAACUCCUACGGGAGGCAGCAGUAGGGAAUCUUCCGCAAUGGGCGAAAGCCUGACGGAGCAAUGCCGCGUGAGUGAAGAAGGCCUUCGGGUCGUAAAACUCUGUUAUAAGAGAAGAACAAAUUGUAGAGUAACUGCUACAGUCUUGACGGUAUCUUAUCAGAAAGCCACGGCUAACUACGUGCCAGCAGCCGCGGUAAUACGUAGGUGGCAAGCGUUGUCCGGAUUUAUUGGGCGUAAAGGGAGCGCAGGUGGUUUCUUAAGUCUGAUGUGAAAGCCCACGGCUUAACCGUGGAGGGUCAUUGGAAACUGGGAAACUUGAGUACAGAAGAGGAAUGUGGAACUCCAUGUGUAGCGGUGGAAUGCGUA